rnacentral:rRNA from 1 species
GCUUAUCACCAUUCCAGAUUGAAUAUACCCGAUCUCGUCUGAUCUCGGAAGUCAAGCAAUCUCGAGCUUGGUUAGUACUUGGAUGGGUGA